rnacentral:rRNA from 1 species
GUGGGGAAUAUUGGGCAAUGGGCGAAAGCCUGACCCAGCAACGCCGCGUGAAGGAAGAAGGUCUUCGGAUUGUAAACUUCUGUCAUUGGGGACGAAGGAAGUGACGGUACCCGAUGAGGAAGCCCCGGCUAACUACGUGCCAGCAGCCGCGGUAAUACGUAGGGGGCGAGCGUUGUCCGGAAUUACUGGGCGUAAAGGGUGCGUAGGCGGCGAUGCAAGUCCAUUGUGAAAAGCCCGGGCUUAACCUGGGAGGUGCAGUGGAAACUGUAUGGCUGGAGUGCAGGAGAGGAAAGUGGAAUUCCUAGUGUAGCGGUGAAAUGCGUAGAUAUUAGGAGGAACACCAGUGGCGAAGGCGGCUUUCUGGACUGUAACUGACGCUGAGGCACGAAAGCGUGGGGAGCAAACAGGAUUAGAUACCCGUGUAGUCC